rnacentral:rRNA from 1 species
UACGUAGGGGGCAAGCGUUGUCCGGAUUUACUGGGCGUAAAGCGCGUGUAGGCGGCCACGCAGGUCCGUUGUGAAAACUAGAGGCUCAACCUCUAGACGUCGACGGAAACCGUGUGGCUAGAGUCCGGAAGAGGAGAGUGGAAUUCCUGGUGUAGCGGUGAAGUGCGCAGAUAUCAGGAAGAACACCAAUGGCGAAGGCAGCUCUCUGGGACGGUACUGACGCUGAGACGCGAAAGCGUGGGGAGCGAACAGG